GUGAAUGCUGGCGGCGUGGAUAAGUCAUGCAAGUCAAGGGGGCCCGCAAGGGCAACCGGCAGACGAGGUAGUAACACGUAGGUAGAUCCCCCGAAGUCGGGCAUAGCCAUCCGAAAGGAUGGGUAAUUCCCGAUAGUCUCGCAAGAGUAAAGGUUUUUCGCUUCGGGUGUUGCCUGCGUAGUAUCAGCUAGUUGGUAGGGUAACGGCCUACCAAGGCUACGACGCUUAGGGGAGCUGAGAGGCUGACCCCCACCGAUGGAACUGCGACACGGUCCAUACUCCUACGGGAGGCUGCAGACGAGAAUAUUCCGCAAUGGGCGAAAGCCUGACGGAGCGACGCCGCGUGCUUGAUGAAGUGCCUUGGUACGUAAAGAGCUUUUAUCGGGGACGAAGUUUAUUGACGGUACCCGAUGAAUAAGGGGCUCCUAACUCUGUGCCAGCAGGAGCGGUAAUACAGAGGCCCCAAGCAUUACCCGGAAUCACUGGGCGUAAAGGGUGUCUAGGCGGCCCUAUUAGUCGUUUGUAAAAUCCGUGGGCUUAACCUACGGUCCGCAAGCGAAACGGUAGGGCUCGAGGGCGCAAGAGGUGCAUGGAACUCAUGGUGGAGGGGUGAAAUCCGUUGAUAUCAUGGGGAACACCAAAGGCGAAGGCAGUGCACUGGUGCGUUCCUGAACGCUCAAACACGAAAGCCAGGGUAGCGAACGGGAUUAGAUACCCCGGUAGUCCUGGCCCUCAACGUUGCUCGCUCGUUUUUACGGAGUAUCGACCCUCUGUGAGACUAAGCUAACGCGGUAAGCGAGCCGCCUGGGUAGUACGAUCGCAAGAUUAAAACUCAAAGGAAUAGACGGGGACUCGCACAAGCGGUGGAUUAUGUGGCUCAAUUCGUCGACAAACGAAGAACCUUACCAAGGUUAGAAAUCCAGCUGCAUCUGAGGUGAAAGCCUCGGAGCCUUCGAGGGUGCUGGACAGGUGAUGCAUGGUCGUCGUCAGUUCGUGGUUUGAACUGUUCCCUUCAGUGGGGUAACGAACGCAACCCCCGUUGUCUGUUGUCUAUAUGACCAGGCGAGACUGCUCCCUCACGGGAGAGGAAGGUGGGGAUGACGCCAGAUCAGCAUGUCCCUCUGAUACCUUGGGCCGCACACAUAAUACAAUGGUUGGUACAAACGGGUUGCAAUACCGCAAGGUGGAGCCAAUCCUUAUAAAACCAACCCCAGUACGGAUUGAGGUCUGCAAUCGACCUCAUGAAGCCGGAAUCGCUAGUAAUCCCGGGUCAGCCAAACCGGGGUGAAUACGUUCUCGAGUCUUGUACUCACCGCCCGUCAAGUCAAGGGAGCUGGGGGUGCCCGAAGGUCUGCCUCGCGCAGGACUACGGCAAAUUCAGUGACAAGGACU
rnacentral:rRNA from 1 species